rnacentral:tRNA from 1 species
AUGAUAAAAUAGAGUUUCUAUGUUUGAUUACGGAUCAAAAAGGUUGAUCGUUUUU